rnacentral:rRNA from 1 species
GAUGAACGCUGGCGGCGCGCCUAACACAUGCAAGUCGAACGGUUAAAGCACCUUUUAGGUGUGUAUAAAGUGGCGAACGGCUGAGUAACACGUGGGCAACCUGCCCUCCUCUUGGGGAUAGCCUCGGGAAACCGAGGAUAAUACCCGAUACUUCAAUGUGGCCGCAUGACGACAUUGAGAAAGCUUUUGCGGAGAAGGAUGGGCCCGCGGCCUGUUAGCUUGUUGGUGGGGUAACGGCCUACCAAGGCAAUGAUGGGUAGCUGGGUUGAGAGACCGACCAGCCAGAUUGGGACUGAGACACGGCCCAGACUCCUACGGGAGGCAGCAGUGGGGAAUCUUGCACAAUGGGCGAAAGCCUGAUGCAGCGACGCCGCGUGCGGGAAGAAGGCCUUCGGGUUGUAAACCGCUUUCAGCAGGGACGAGGCGAUAAGUGACGGUACCUGCAGAAGAAGCCCCGGCUAACUACGUGCCAGCAGCCGCGGUAAUACGUAGGGGGCAAGCGUUAUCCGGAUUCAUUGGGCGUAAAGCGCUCGUAGGCGGUCUGUUAGGUCGGGAGUUAAAUCCGGGGGCUCAACCCCCGCUCGCUCUCGAUACCGGCAGACUUGAGUUUGGUAGGGGAAGGUGGAAUUCCUAGUGUAGCGGUGGAAUGCGCAGAUAUUAGGAAGAACACCAGUGGCGAAGGCGGCCUUCUGGGCCAUAACUGACGCUGAGGAGCGAAAGCUAGGGGAGCAAACAGG